GCUACCACUUACAGAUGGACCCGCGGCGCAUUAGCUAGUUGGUGAGGUAACGGCUCACCAAGGCGACGAUGCGUAGCCGACCUGAGAGGGUGAUCGGCCACACUGGGACUGAGACACGGCCCAGACUCCUACGGGAGGCAGCAGUAGGGAAUCUUCCGCAAUGGACGAAAGUCUGACGGAGCAACGCCGCGUGAGUGAUGAAGGUUUUCGGAUCGUAAAACUCUGUUGUUAGGGAAGAACAAGUACCGUUCGAAUAGGGCGGUACCUUGACGGUACCUAACCAGAAAGCCACGGCUAACUACGUGCCAGCAGCCGCGGUAAUACGUAGGUGGCAAGCGUUGUCCGGAAUUAUUGGGCGUAAAGCGCGCGCAGGCGGUUUCUUAAGUCUGAUGUGAAAGCCCCCGGCUCAACCGGGGAGGGUCAUUGGAAACUGGGGAACUUGAGUGCAGA
rnacentral:rRNA from 1 species